GUUUGAUCCUGGCUCAGAAUGAACGCUGGCGGCGUGGAUUAGGCAUGCAAGUCGAACGGGGUAGCAAUACCCAGUGGCGACCUGGACAGUACAAGUUGGGUAACUUGCCCGAAAGUGGGGAACAACGUCCCCGAAAGGGGCGCUAAUACCGCAUGUGGUCACGGGGUCCUCGGACUCUUUGACUAAAGCAGCAAUGCGCUUUCGGAUGGGCCCGACUCCCAUUAGCUAGUUGGCGAGGUAAUAGCUCACCAAGGCUACGAUGGGUAGGUGGUCUGAGAGGAUGGACACCGUCACGAGGACUGAGAUACGGCCUCGACUCCUACGGGGGGCAGCAGUCUAGAAGCUUCGGCAAUGGGCGAAAGCCUGACCGAGCGACGCCGCGUGGAGGAUGAAGGUCUUCGGAUUGUAAACUCCUUUCGGCGGGAAAGAACGUCUGGGUGGCGAACUCAGGCUUGACUGACCCGCGGAAGAAGCCCCGGCUAACUCUGUG
rnacentral:rRNA from 1 species